UUUGUAACCAAAAGUUUUGCAUACGAAAAUUGUUGUUCCUAAAGAAAACACAGUGCAAUUGAAGCGUCGUCCUUUGGUCGGAUGAGGUUGCUGUAUAAACAGUCAAACUGAAGAAGGAAAGCACAAUAAUGUACAUCGCAAUUUGCCCCCAAAAGUCUAUGCUUUUCAUUCCUCUUUUCCACCACUACAACCUUCCACCAUUGGUUUUCAAGUGAAAUCAAUUUCCCAAACAUCCACUUUUCAAAUUUCAAUCACCAUUUCUAUGACCACUUAUACUUUAAACUGUACCUACCAACACAAAAUUUAAAUCACCAAUGCCUUUAUUCAUUUUAGUUUUCCUCUUUUUCCAACAACUUCCCACUUAUUAUCCCAUAUUCCUUUUUUAGUCAACACAAAUAUUUAAACCUAAUUAUUCUUAUUUUGUUUUUUCACUAAUUAUAUCAUUAAAAUAAGAUUUCUUUUAG
rnacentral:lncRNA from 1 species